rnacentral:sRNA from 1 species
CUGCGUGGAUGGAGCACUCUGGGACCCAAGCGUCCGCGGUACUCCUGAUCCGGAGUUGUGCUCCACCUGCAGCAAGUGGUUGGUUAACUGCUAUGCCGCAGGGCUUGGGCCGGUCCUUCCGCGUCCGGGAAGGCUUUCUCAGGCUGCGGAGGACGCCCACGGGAG